rnacentral:lncRNA from 1 species
CAAGAGCGUCAAAUGAUCUUCUUUACGCUCAGUAUAAUGGUCACAAAAGUGAAAUAAAUACGGAGGCACGGACGGACAGGAAUGGACAUGUACAAGCUCUCUUUUGGACUAGUUCUAAAAUAAUAAAAAAUACACAUUUGACUUUUCCAAACCCCUAGGUCUUUGACAUGAGUACUAAUACACAUUUCAAUUGAAUGCUGAUACUUUCAAGAGAUAGCGGACGAUUAAUUAAGGUUUUUAUAUGUACUCCUGUAGUCAAGAGGAAUAUACAUCUGUUUACGAUACAAAUUAAGUGUGUUGAGCAAUUUGGGACGGGAAUGCUAUUUAUUUGUCUUUUUAAUGUGUGAUUAUUUUUGAACAAAGACUCCAAAUGGAAUUACGAACUGGAUUAUUACAAAAUAACACCUUUAAAAAAGUGAUUAAAAGAGAGGAAAGUCACGCAACCUGGGUCCAACAAUCAAUUAUAGUGUUUUUUUUUUGGGACAAUUGCCUUUAGUUAUUGAAAUCAAGUGUAUAAUAAAAUACAUGAAUCAUACUCCCCACUUAAGUGUUUAAACAGUUGUACUUACUUGUAGGUACUAUGUUUUUUGACAGUUUUAAAAUGAUGUGGAUUUUAAGUGGAAUGAUAGAUGUCACAACGAAGUGAAACAUUUGGAACAUGCAGAUAUCUCGUCGUUUAAGUAUGGAAAAAGUCAGUAGAAUAUCUAUCAUUGAAGCUCGCCACGCGGGACACUCUGCUUAGGAGAUCAUUUCCUUCUUCAAAUAUCCAAAAUCAACUGUUUAUGACGUGAUUGAGGCCUUGGAUGAGGAGGAAAAGACUGAGAGAGCAGCUCAUUCGACAAGAUCUGAUAAAAUCUGGACUAAAAGGGUCAUAGCUGGCUUGAAACGAUUUGACACGCAUCCAGACACGUCAAUUGCUAAGCUGGCGAAGGACCGUAACGUGAUCAAUACCACCAUCAAAAAUGGCAUCAGGAUUGACCUGGGUUACUUUUCGAGGGUCAGAGCCUCAAAGUAUCUGCUAACAGAGCAGAAUCAGGGACACAGAAUCAACAAAGACGAGAAAAUCUUUCCUAUUGACGCCAACCAUAACCGUAGAACUGAUAGAUGGAUCUGUUUGGACCCUGAUGAUUUCCAGCCAGUUAUGAAAAUAAAAAAAUCCGGCUUCGGUUAUGGUCCUGGUGGUCAUCAGUACGGAAGGACAAGUUAUCCCCCACUUCUUCCAACAGGGCCAGAAGGAGACCAAUGAGGCUUACAAGGGCGUUCUCAAGGCCGUGGUCAUCCCAUGGAUGAAUGAAGUCACUGAUGGGAAGCCAUAUACAUUCCAGUAAGACUCAGCACCUGCUCAUAAGGCCAAGAUUGUCCAAGAGUUAUUAGGACAAUAUGUCCCGGAUUGUUGGCCUCCAUUAUAUUGGCCAGCCAAC